GGGCGUCGUAAGGCUGGCACCAGCAGUGGGCUCUGCCAGGGUGUUAGGCUUCAGCUUCUGCCCAUGGCUGCUGGAUAUUGCUACCACCACUACUUAAUGGUACCCAUAGCAUUCAGAAACCUGGAUGAGCCAGGCCAGAUUGCUGACUAAAUGCCUGACUCAUAAAUGUGUUUUAUCCUCCCUUUAUUUUCUGUAUUUUCAAAGGCACUAGACUGAUACCCACAUGUUCUAUAAAUCUUGCAUUUCUUUGUCAGCUUGGUGGUACAUGUUCAUAAAACGGUGCCGUUUAUAUUAUAAAAUGACCGAUUUAUAAUUCUUGUUCAUUUCGUAUACGUGUACGUAUGACGGCAUUAGAAAUGCAGCCCAGGCUGCUGUAUAGUGUUGAAUGGAGAUCAAGCACUUCUGUUUACCUGUGAAAUUGCCUAUUAAAAUUACAAUGAAACCAUAAAAAUGACUUUUAUGUCGCUCCUCUGAGAAGAAGUUUCAAUUUACUGGUUCAAGCGAAAAUAUCUCGCACUUAAUUGUAAAAUAUUUUUAGGUAGAUUUACUCUGAUAUUACUUGGUGUGUCAAAUUCAUUGAAGAACUGUUAGAGGAGAAUGUUAAAGCAACACUGUCUAUUUUAAUCUUUAUGUUUAUUUAAAGAGGGGGAACUAGAAACAGAAAAAUCAGUGACAUUUGUCUUUUUUUCUGGAUAUUCAGUUUAUUCUGUUUUGUUUCGACCUCCACCUCCUCCUGUUCUUGGUAGAGUGUGUGAAACCAUACCAAAUGGAAGGUAUAUUUUCUGGAGUUGUUGGGACAGAGACAUUUAACACUAUUCACAUGAGAGGUAUAUCAGAUUCCAUUAACAAAGGAAGGAGAUAAGAAUUGUGUUUCAACAGGGAAAUAAAAGUCAGAGAAGGUCAACUGCUACACUCUUCCUCAGAUACUAUAUUGGAGAUUGGAAUUCUCUGACUCCCCCAUGGAUGGUCAUGCUGUGCAGUUGACAUCACCUGUCAAAAAGGCCCAAUAUGAAACCCAUGAUGUGAGCAUUGGUAGCCAGCAUUUUGCCUUCCAGAUGUUGUUUGGUUACAGCCCCAUCAUCCCUGGUAACUGGCCAUGGUAAAAACAUCUGGAGGGCACUAUGUUUCCUGCCCCUGAUGCAGCUCCCAUUAGCUCCAGCCAGUACAGCUUGGGAUAGGCUGUAUAGUGCAAACAAUUUAUUGGCAAGAGAAUGGGAGAUUGACAGAAAUGUUUUCUCAAGCCUCUGGAAGGCUACUAAAUUUGUGUGGAAUUUGGGGGUGGGACUUAUUUUUUUCACUUUAGAUUCCAGUUGGUAGGGCAGUGCCCCAGCUGCCCUAAUAAACCAUCCUCCACUGGUGGCACAUACUGCUGCAAACUAUUACACCCAUGAAAUCCAGGUCCUGUUUUUAUAUAGAAAACCCUCCCACAAUUGUAUGCUCACUGUUCAGCUGUUAAGAUUGCUAUUAAACUUUAUGGACCAUAAACCCCACAGAAACAAGGAAAGUGAACAGCCCUUCUAUUAAAGGAGUAUCAAAGCAAGAAGCAUAUUUCAUAGCAUCAACAUCAUGUAUCACCUGCCAUGCACACAAAAUCACUCCCUGGUUGUCACAAGCUUACAUGCUUAUUUGAUCUCUACAGUCAAGGUGCUGUUGCAAGUACUGACCAUCGAGACCGGCAUUUUAGUCCAUUUUGCUAAAGCUGGAAGUUGGUGCAUAAAUUGUGUUCCACAGUUUUUGUAUCAGAAAGCAAAGCAUCUAUUUAAAUAUUUAAGAACUCCUGAUCCAGGAGUCUGCUGGAUCAGGCCAGCGGCCCAACAAGUCUAGUGUGCUGUUUUCACAGUGACCAUUCAGAUGCUUAUGGGAAGCCCCCAAGUGGGAUCCAAGUGCAUCCAUUGUGUAAUAUUUCCUCUUCUGUAUUUUCUCAUGCAGAUUUACUAAUUUUUAAGUUUAAUUUUAGAUUCUCACCAAUAAGAAGUUCCAAAGCUCAUGCUUAUCUAGGAAAGGUAUGGAACACCUUUAGCCCUCCAGGAUCUUCCAUUCAACUAAGUCCUGCUCAGUGUAGACCCACUGAAUACAAUGAACAUAAGUUUGUCAUGUCCAUUAACUUCAAUGGCUCUACUCAACUAGCAUUGAAGCAACCCAGGAUGUUGCUUAACUGUGGCUUCCAACACUCCUGACAAUUCAUACCUGCUAUGGCUGAAGGGCACAGUAGUUCAGCAAUAUCUAGAGAGCCAAAGGUGUCCCACCUUUAAUUUAGGAGAAUGUGGUAUUUUGAAUCCCCCUGAAAUUACCGUAUUUUUUGCACCAUAACACUCACUUUUUUCCUCCUAGAAAGUAAGGGGAAAUGUCUGUGCGUGUUAUGGAGGGAAUGCCUGCGGGUGGCAUGCCUACGUUUUUUCCUCCUCUAAAAACUACGUGCGUGUUAUGGUCGGGUGCAUGUUAUAGAGCGAAAAAUACAGUAACUGUCAGAGCUGGGCCAUGGGCAUUUCUCUGAAGUGAGGCAGGGGAUGGGAACCAAGGGCCAUAGGCUGGAGCCACAGUUGGGACAGUCCAAUCAAGGAAGGAAGUUCAGUAAGAAAGCCCCAAAUCAGGAGCAUGCCAAAGCUCAGGAAGAUUUUGUAACUCAAGCAAGGCUUAUCUGGACUAAGGUAAAGGUAAAGGGACCCCUGACCAUUAGGUCCAGUUGUGACCGACUCUGGGGUUGCGGCGCUCAUCUUGCUUUAUUGGCUGAGGGAACCGGCGUACAGCUUCCGUAUCAUGUGGCCAGCAUGACUAAGCCGCUUCUGGCGAACCAGAGCAGCGCACAGAAACGCCGUUUACCUUCCCACCGGAGCGGUACCUAUUUAUCUACUUGCACUUUGACAUGCUUUCGAACUGCUAGGUUGGCAGGAGCAGGGACCAAGCAACGGGAGCUCACCCCGUCACAGUGAUUCGAACCACCGACCUUCUGAUCGGCAAGUCCUAGGCUCUGUGGUUUAACCCACAGCGCCACCUGUGUCCCCUGUCUCUGGAGUAGGAAAUCCUUUUACUGUCUUGUCUAUCCUGGCCUGUGUCUUGGCUGGGCCUGCAUCCUGGCCCUAGUUUGGAGUGAGGCAUCACUUAUUUUUAGUUUUGGACUGCUCUUUUGUGCAAACAUGGUAGAUCACAAAAGGUGUACGUGCACAUGUAAGCAAAUACCUAUGGACAUCAGGCUUAUUGGCUUGGAGCAACACACUCACACAAAUGGCUGCUGUUUUGAGCAAAUCUGGUAAAUUGAGAAUCUUGUAUUUUGGGGGUAUUAAAGGUGUGUGCUUACAGGUAAACAGAUGCCAAUGUGCAUGCCCAUAAUGACCUCAGGCAAGGCCAGCCCACUCAUGAAGUGGCCUGCGCCCUGGCCCUAGUUUGGAGUGAGGCAUCACUUAUUUUUAGUUUUGGAGUGACGUGGUGGUGCUGAACUCCUCGAAAUUCAAUGCUUCAAUUUACAAUUCAGUGGCUCACUAUAAGAGGCAACCACACACAAACCCCAAGGCUCCCAUUUUGUGCCUCAGCAGCUUCUGAACUUAUAGAUUUAUUGAUAAUAGUUUAUCCUCAUCCUCUUACUUUUUGUUUUGUGGGGUAAAGAGGAAAAAGAUUGGCUGGUGUCAAGCCCAUUAGAAGCUUGGACCAAACUAUGGUGGAGUUGUAGAGUUGGUUUGUAAUGGGCUCAGGUGCUGGUACAAAUCUUUGAAUUCACCAUUAUAUGCCAAAUCAUUGAAAUUCAUAUGUAUCACUGAUUUUGCAGAAUUUUCAGAGCCCGUCACUCUGUUUUGUGAAGAUAUAUGUCAUUCACCUUCAUUUCUUAUUACUUUGUUUUUAUAUAUAAGAAAUAGUCUCUCUUUAUAUUUUACCCAAAAAAAGAGGAGUUGGAGGUGGGGAGAAGAGUAUAUUAUUCCCCUUAUGGAAAAUGAGGCCAACCUAUUCAGUGUUCUCUGCAUUUUGCCAGGAGCAACAUAGAACAAGGAGAGAGAAAAGUUAUCACUUAGGUGUUUAUGAGAAAUAGUCACAUGGAUCACAUGAGAGGGAUCUUUCUUACUGUGAAACUGAAGGGAGGGAAAUACUGUUUGUAAGGUAAUUGGUGGAUUUUAGUAAUUAUUAACACUUUCCUAGAGGUAGGUAGGGAAGGAGCUCUGUGUGUGUGUGUGUGUGUGUGUGUGUAAGAGAGAGAGAGAGAGAAUGAAUUGCUCAGUUUCAUAUCUAUUUGUUUUAGAACUAGGUAAGUAGAUAGAAAAGGGGAUACUGUUCUUAUGUCUGUAUCCAGCCUUACAGUGCAAUCCUGUGCAUGUUUACAGAAAAGUAAGCUCUACUCUGGUUAAUGGGACUAAGGAAGUGUACCCAGGCUUGCAGUGUUUGUGCAGUAUGAAUGAAUGAUAAUUAUUAUAUUUAAAACAAUCAAAAGUUGUAUUUGAAGCACAAUUUGUAAUAUACCAUAGCACACAUGUAAUGUCUAAACCAUAGCCCCAGAAUAAUUCUGGAAAGGAUGACAAAAAUACUCUUUUAAACUAUGCUUUUAACUUAGUAUUACUGUACAAACAAUUCUUGAUGAACAAUAUGUUUGAUUGAAUAGGGACCUUUUUCUGCCCCCAAAAGGUUCUGCACUGAUAUUGUUGUUGGCAUCCCUCUAUCUCGAGAGACAAUGGAGUGUGUCUCCAUGGGGUGAAGUCAAACCACUGGAGAAUCACAGCGCUUGCUGUGGCUGUAGAGCUAUAACUCAUAGCUGCUGCCUCUUGCAUUGUAUUUUGUUAUGUUAGAGCACCGAAGUGACCUCCCUGGGCACAAGCCUGGGCAGUGUGUAUGGAGGUCCUGGGCUGCCCAAAGGACAAGACCCCGCCCCCAGUCUUGCUGAUGUGGUCCAUAGGAAAGCAGAGCAAUACACUUGGCACCAACUUGGCUGCAGGAGUUGCCAGAAGGAGGCGUACAAAAUGCCAUCCUACUAUCUUAAGGACUCCUCUCCAGAUUUGUGUAGCCUUUUCUUUUCCUGAAAAUGUGCCGUAAGGCAGCGGGUACGGAUUUUUCCUUAGGCUUUCAUCUCAAAGCCUUUCUUACGAAUGAGUAUAGCAGCAAGGUUUAAGAUCAGAGGUUUAGGAUCAAAGUUUUCCUUCUCCUAGAUGGGUUACCUUCCCAGGUUGAUGAGCCCCAUCUGCCCCUCAUUUCCCUCUACAGCACGUGCAGCAACUACGUUAUUGACCGUUGGACCUGCUAUUGGUCUUGUUACUCCAGUUGUAUUUUAUCAUGUAGAGUCAUAUAAAUGAAUCUGAGCUAUUAGUCUUCAUGUAUAUAUUGAACCUCCAAAGUCUGAAAUAGUUUACCACUGCCAGCACUUCCUGGAGAGCAACACUAAGGGAGGGCUAUUCAUAGUGGGCUUCCAGAAGGCAUCUGAAAGCUGCUCUAGGGGUGGGGAGGAUGCAUGUCUAGAUAUACUUUUGGUCUGAUCCAUCAGGGAUCUUCUUAUGCUUCUUUUGAUCAAAGUAGAGGAAGGUCCAGCUCUCUCCUUAACUAUUCUUGAAAGGAAAUGUAGGCCAUGUUUGUAACCAAAUUUUGUGCUUUUCUCCCUCCAUUCUCCAUUGUACCUUCCAGCAGAGAUUAGCUUUUUAACAUCUUUUUGAAGAAUGGUGCUCUUUAAAAAAACAUAAGAGAGGUUUUUUUUGGUGUUUUUUUUAGUUCUCCAAAGACUAUAAUGAGGGUACUCGCUUCUGCAGGCAAAACACAGCCAUUUGAACAGACAUUAACUGCUAAAAUGUGCUGUGUCAAAAAAGAUGCAGGCAGAAAUGAACUGAGGGGAGGGAGAAACAUUUGUUUUAGUGUUUUCUUUUAGUGAUUAACGUUAUGUGCUAAUGAAAGGCCUACUUUAAAAAUUGGCACCCUUUCUGCAUCUUAAAGAUGAAGAAAAGCAAUUGAGGUAUUUAGCACGGAUUAGAAGUUUUUUAAUAUAAAAAAAUAAAAGUAGUUCCUAAAGGGAAAAUGAUUGUUUUUAUUUUAUAUUAUUUCCUCAAAUAAAAAAGUAAAGUAGAUACAUAGCCAAGAAAUAAUAACCUACAGCAUUAAUAUAAAGAGGCAACACUAGAUAUAGAAGAUACUUGUUUUUAAUGAAAGAAUAAAUGGUUUUAAGAUAUCUAGCAGUUUAUUGUCUUAGGCGAGAUUCUUUUUCACAUCUUCAGCCCUUUCCCCAACUGGUUUGUCUACAAUAUGGGGAUAUUCCGGCUUAUCCAUUCUACAGAGUUGUUUUAAGGUUUACUGCAAAAAGUUAGAAGAAAUGCUCUGAGCACUCAGAAUGUGCUAUAUAAAUGUUAAGUAUCUUUACUGCUGUGCAGAGGUUUGGGUGGAGAUGAUAUGGCUAAGUUCUGAAAUACGCUGCAGAUGCGGAUAUCAUUGUGGUGCACACAGACCAAGGUCCAGAGGACCUAAGGCAGAUAGCAUGGUCAAAGGUACUCUAGAAAUCCACUUCUGGGACAAAUAAAGGACGAGCAAAAGGAGAAAAUGUGGUCAGAGCCAGGCUGGUACUCAGAUUCCAAAUCAGUCAUUUAAGGUAAGACAGUCUGCAUGGCUAUUCAGUGAAAUAAAUUGCUCAGAUUGAGAUUUAUAUUGUUAGCCAGGUUCCCAUUGGUUCCUCAGUCACCUGGUCCAGCCGGGCUGAUAAGCAGCAAUAUCCUUCCUCUCUAUUUUAUUUGUGGCGCUGCAGCAUAGGUCUGCCAGUUGACUCUGGGGUUCACAGAAUAAGACAUCUGCACCCUGCUGCCUCGAUUCCUGGUUUGCAUCAUAACUUUUGUCCCUCUUUUCUUUCUUGUGCCUACACACACAUGUGCACAAACCAAACUUUGUUUCAUUGUUGAAUGGCAAUAGUUUCUGGCCCCUUUUCCUUAUUUGACUGCAACAAUGCACAGUGUUCAAAAGCUUGAGCCAUUGCAGACAUUUGCAACUGUCUGUGAGGGAUAUACGUAUUAGCACCAAUGCUCUGGCAUUUGUAUUUGCUUGUUAUGCUGUUCUGACUACAGUUCAAGAUACUGGUUUCUUCCUGUUCAUUGGUGGGGCUAGUUAGCCAAGCCUUUUGCUUCCUCCAAGAAAGUGCUGUUCUCCAGGUACAGCAGAAAAGGCAAGGGGAGGCUAAUGUAGUCAUCCACACACCCAGCCAACAAUAAUCUUGCUACUGCAAUCUGCAUCCAUUGAUGUAACCAUAGUGAACAAGAAUCCAAGCAGAGGGCUGAAUAGAUGGAAAGCAGAGACUGAGUGAGAAGAAUUUGGUCAGGUUUCUGUUACUGGGAUGGGUUUUACUGCAUUUUCUAUUUGAUACAUAGUUUUGAUUUUAGAGCUUUUGUUUCACAUGUAAUCUUUAGGGCAAGAUGGGAUAUAAAUCUAAAUUGUAAUGGUUUUUUAAGAAUUUAUGAGCUGCCUUAUUUGUAUCUUUCCCCCACACUGACCACCCUAGUGCCAUAUUAUACCUCUCACAAAGCAUUUCACUGGGAGAAGAAAACAUUGUCUUAACACUGUCUCUUGCAGCCAGCCUCCCAAAAGUUUUCCCUUCUUUGCUGUGUAUGGCUCACUGGCAACCAACUCCCCAAAGCAUGAAGGUUAGAAAGUUGAUUAUUUCUCACCUGACAGAUUUUCCUAGGAAACGUCCCCAAAUACAAACGCCCAGCC